rnacentral:lncRNA from 1 species
GGUUCCGAACAUUGACACUACAGCCCUACUUCUCCGCCCUCAACCUCCACCACCGCCGGCCCUCCACACGUCAUCGUCACCGGUCACGCACUUUGUGGCGCACCCCCUUCUCCAGCCAACCUCCGUCUCUCACCAGUCACCACUGUCACCGGCUCCGGUCACACAUCAACCGGCGGUCGUCUUUAAUCAGCCAUCCUCCCCACUACGUCGCUGCCGUCAGAUGCGGCAGUGAGGUAUGCAGCCCAGAUGUGAUAAGAGAAGAAGAUGAUGGUGGAAACGAUGAGGUCUGAAAGUGGGUGAGUGAAAGUGAACAUGAUCUGGUCAUUUGGAUGAUUUUGGGUGAGAAAGUGUGAGCGAUUAAGAUGAAUGUGAAAGGGAGGGUGAGAGUGAGGGUGAUUUGGGUGAAAAAGAUGUUGAUCCAUGUGAAAAAAUGGGUGAGGAGAAUGUGAAGGGGAUGAUAGAAAAUUAGAAGAAAUCUAUUUGUUGAAUAUGUUUGGAUGAUUAUUCAUUUGGGGUUUUAAAGAUGUUAAAUCAGG